CGCAUCUGUGCAUGCAGCAUAUCAAUAAGCGGAGGAAAAGAAACUAACAAGGAUUCCCUUAGUAACGGCGAGUGAAGCGGGAAGAGCUCAAAUUUGAAAUCUUAAAGGGUUUCCCUUUACGAAUUGUAGUUUAAAGAAGUGUUUUCUGUUGAGGUUUUGGUAAAAGUUCUUUGGAAUAGGACAUCAUAGAGGGUGAGAAUCCCGUAUUUGACCUUUACUUUCAACUUUGUGAUACACUUUCAAAGAGUCGGAUUGUUUGGGAAUGCAGUCCAAAAUGGGUGGUAAAUUUCAUCUAAAGCUAAAUAUUGGCGAGAGACCGAUAGCGAACAAGUACCGUGAGGGAAAGAUGAAAAGAACUUUGAAAAGAGAGUUAAACAGUACGUGAAAUUGUCAAAAGGGAAGCGUUUGACACCAGUGUUGUUUUCUCGAAAAUCAAUUAAAAAGAGUUAGAUUUUGUUGUAGUAUUGACCUUAACAGCUUGCAUUUCAAUUUUCUUGCUUUUUUUAAUGCACUUUUCGUUUAACAAGUCAACAUCAGUUUCUUUUGUUGUAAAAAGGUCAUUGGAAGGUGGCUUUCUUUUCGGAGAAAGUGUUUAUAGCCUUUGACUCCUGCAAUCGGAGAGACUGAGGUCUGCAGCGUAGAUCCUUCGGGGUUAGAUACAUUUGUGCUAAGUUAUAGCUUUUUAUAGACAACUUGUUGACUAUGAUUAGUCUUGUAGCUUACUCGCUUAUGCUAUUUUACCUACGCUUAGGAUGUUGAUGUGAUACUGCGAGC
rnacentral:rRNA from 1 species